AACGAACGCUGGCGGCAGGCUUAACACAUGCAAGUCGAGCGCCCCGCAAGGGGAGCGGCAGACGGGUGAGUAACGCGUGGGAACGUACCCUUUGCUACGGAAUAACUCAGGGAAACUUGUGCUAAUACCGUAUGUGCCCUUCGGGGGAAAGAUUUAUCGGCAAAGGAUCGGCCCGCGUUGGAUUAGCUAGUUGGUGAGGUAAAGGCUCACCGAGGCGACGAUCCAUAGCUGGUCUGAGAGGAUGAUCAGCCACACUGGGACUGAGACACGGCCCAGACUCCUACGGGAAGCAGCAGUGGUGAAUAUUGGACAAUGGGCGCAAGCCUGAUCCAGCCAUGCCGCGUGAGUGAUGAAGGCCCUAGGGUUGUAAAGCUCUUUCGACAGGGACGAUGAUGACGGUACCUGUAGAAGAAGCCCCGGCUAACUUCGUGCCAGCCGCCGCCGUAACAC
rnacentral:rRNA from 1 species